UACGGAGGGUGCAAGCGUUGUCCGGAUUUAUUGGGUUUAAAGGGUGCGUAGGUGGUCCUGUAAGUCUGGUUUGAAAGCAGGUGGCUUAACCAUCUGAUGUGGCUGGAAACUGGAGGACUUGAAUUGGUUGGCGGUAGCCGGAACGGGUCAUGUAGCGGUGAAAUGCAUAGAUAUGACCCAGAACACCGAUUGCGAAGGCAGGCUACUACGACCGUAUUGACACUGAGGCACGAGAGCAUGGGUAGCGAACAGG
rnacentral:rRNA from 1 species